UACGUGAGCCUCAAGCGUUACCCGGAUUUACUGGGCGUAAAGGGUGUGUAGGUGGUUGUGUUAGUCGCUUGUUAAAGCCCGGGGCUUAACCCCGGAUCUGCGGGCGAAACGGCACAACUAGAGAGUGCGAGAGGUCUGUGGAACUCAUGGUGUAGGGGUGAAAUCCGUUGAUAUCAUGGGGAACACCGAAAGCGAAGGCAGCAGACUGGCGCAUUUCUGACACUCAAACACGAAAGCGUGGGUAGCGAACGGG
rnacentral:misc_RNA from 1 species